rnacentral:rRNA from 1 species
CCGACGGUGAGGGGUGAAAGCUGGGGGAGCAAACCGGAAUAGAUACCCGGGUAGUCCCAGCUGUAAACUAUGCAAACUCAGUGAUGCAUUGGCUUGUGGCCAAUGCAGUGCUGCAGGGAAGCCGUUAAGUUUGCCGCCUGGGAAGUACGUACGCAAGUAUGAAACUUAAAGGAAUUGGCGGGGGAGCACCACAAGGGGUGAAGCCUGCGGUUCAAUUGGAGUCAACGCCUGAAACCUUACCCGGAGAGACAGCAGAAUGAAGGUCAAGCUGAAGACUUUACCAGACAAGCUGAGAGGUGGUGCAUGGCCGUCGCCAGCUCGUGCCGUGAGAUGUCCUGUUAAGUCAGGUAACGAGCGAGAUCCCUGCCUCUAGUUGCCACCAUUACUCUCAGGAGUAGUGGGGCGAAUUAGCGGGACCGCCGCAGUUAAUGCGGAGGAAGGAAGGGGCCACGGCAGGUCAGUAUGCCCCGAAACUCUGGGGCCACACGCGGGCUGCAAUGGUAACGACAAUUGGUUUCGAAUCCGAAAGGAUGAGGUAAUCCUCAAACGUUACCACAGUUAUGACUGAGGGCUGCAACUCGCCCUCACGAAUAUGGAAUCCCUAGUAACUGCGUGUCAUUAUCGCGCGGUGAAUACGUCCCUGCUCCUUGCACACACCGCCCGU